rnacentral:rRNA from 1 species
GACGAACGCUGGCGGCGUGCCUAAUACAUGCAAGUAGAACGCUGAAGCGAGGAGCUUGCUCUUCUUGGAUGAGUUGCGAACGGGUGAGUAACGCGUAGGUAACCUGCCUUGUAGCGGGGGAUAACUAUUGGAAACGAUAGCUAAUACCGCAUAACAAUGGAUGACACAUGUCAUUUAUUUGAAAGGGGCAAUUGCUCCACUACAAGAUGGACCUGCGUUGUGUUAGCUAGUAGGUGAGGUAAUGGCUCACCUAGGCGACGAUACGUAGCCGACCUGAGAGGGUGAGCGGCCACGCUGGGACUGAGACACGGCCCAGACUCCUACAGGAGGCAGCAGUAGGGAAUCUUCGGGAAUGGGGGCAACCCUGACCGAGCAACGCCGCGGGAGUGAAGAAGGUUGUCGGGUCGUAAAGCUCUGUUGUAAGUCAAGAACGGGUGUGAGAGUGGAAAGUUCACACUGUGACGGUAGCUUACCAGAAAGGGACGGCUAACUACGUG